UGCUUAUCAAGAAAGGCGGAGGGAAUGGCCCUGUGAAACCUUAGCAACCAGCUAAAUUUUAGAAAUGGUGCUAAUUCCAUCCCGGAUGAAUCCGGGCUAGUUAAGUC
rnacentral:ncRNA from 2 species